rnacentral:lncRNA from 1 species
CGCAGCUGAUCAUAUCUUCAUUCAAAGAAUCUGUCUCUAGGUAAGGUCACAACGAGGUUCUUGGUGACAUGGAUUUUGCGGGGACUUAUCCAACCCAUCUGAAGAAAGUUUGGGAAGGGUAAAUGUACCAGUCGUUCCAAUAGAUGACCUCCACAGGGAGGCCCAGCAGUCCCAGACUCUUCCUUUAUAGGAAAAAGUGACUUCUCACUUUGCUCUGUCCCCCCUGAAAUGCCUUCUUCCGAAUGUGCCUGGAACGUUGUCUCCCCCUAGCCCUCAAUUGCCACCCACACUUCCUGGAGCCCUGGAGAGCUGGGGGUCAGGUAGGAGAAGGAGGCAAGAGGAUUGUCAUCGCUAAGCCUGCGUCCCUUGUCCCAUGUGGGGGUGCGGUACUGCAAGAUGAGGUUGGCUCUGAGACCAUCUCACAGGAAGCCCGCAGACCCUUGAUGCCCUGACUGUGCUGGGAGUUCAGAUGUAGACUCCAAUAUCUU